rnacentral:lncRNA from 1 species
GGGGUACAGGGAGGCUUGAGUGGGCCAAGGAUCACCUUGGAAAUCUGGGGUCUGGCAGGAGCGGCAGAAGGUUGGGGGGCUGGCCUGGGCAGGGCUGGAGGGCACCUGGCGGGAGUGUGGCGUGGGGUCCCAGGUGUCUUGGAGUGCGGGUGACAUCGGCAUGGGAUGGGCCCAAGCUGGGGGUGUAGAGGAAAGAGGGGGGAGCCAGACAUUCAUCCCGGUCAGUUUUGGUUUCAGGACGUGGCGGCUGGUGGACGAGGGGAGCUGGAGAGAGAUUCGCCCGGGACCUGGGGCAGUGGGGCCGUAUAGCUGGCAGCCGUGGGUGAGUGAGGACAGCGGUCUGUCGGCCAGGUGAGUCCCCUCCCCUCCCUGGGCCUUGCUCUGCUGGCCUUCUGCAAGAAGGGGGCUUCGGGGAGCAAGGGCCAGCGAGGAGAAGCGGCUGACCUCCCGGCAGAGCGGCAGGACGAAGGAGAGCGGUCGGCACAGGUGACAUUGUCUCGGGGGGAGCUGAGACCGUGCGGGCUGGGGGGGGGCCGCGUGCCCUUCCCAGGUAGAAAGAGCAUUUCGGGAGAGCAGGCAGGAGAUGAGGCAGGGCUGCCGGCAGGAGAGGUGACAGGUAGCUGUGGGGAUCCAGCACGUGCGGGGUGGGGGGGGAGGCACCAGGCCCCGGGUCGGACAGGAUGAGGUGGGGACUCAGGACGCAGCAGGGGUCCCCAGCCGCCACCACAUCUCACCCACUGAAAUUCAUUUAGUAGCAGGUACAGGAGCGGCUCUGGCCAGGCCAGAGCUUCGAGGGCUGGGGAGCGGGAAAGAAGGGGCAGUGCGCGGGGUGUCCCGCAACAGGACGUCACCGGAGGGAGCGGCGGCCGCAGGUACCGGCUCCGGAGAGAUUUCUGCAGCGAGGAGGCUGCUGCGGGCCCAGCCUGCGGACGCGCCGUUCCCACGUGGCACUGCGGCCCAGGGUCUGGCGCGGAGAGGGCCCACAGCGUACUUGGUGACACUGUAUGCCUUCACCGCUCAGCCCCCGGGUCUGGCAUGACAGACAGGACAGCACCAGGGGAGUCAAGGGCACUGGCGAGACCCGACUAGGCGAGGCGGGUGGGGUGGAGUGAAUGAGAACUCUGGUGGGGGGCCGGGGCGCAGGCAGGGGCGAAGGGCGGGAGCCUGGCGGCGAGUCCGCCGGGGCGCUGGCCUCCAGAGCCCGUGGCCGAGGUGGGCCUCCGCGGGCGACGACGGAGCAGGGAUCGGUGCCUCUGGACUCGGGACUGGAGACGAGGGUGAGUGCCCGCUGGCGUGCCCGACACCCCACCGUCCCCCCGCCCGCCCACCGCCUCUGCCUGCGGCUCAGCUGGCACCCCCUCCCCUCGCCCGCAGCCAGGUCUCCAGAUCGGGUGACGUGCUGCUGGCCUCCGAAGGCCGGGCGCGAGGCUGCGCUCAGAGAGGCAUGACAUGGUCCGGUGCGACGGCGAGGACAGACGUGACGCCGCCCGGCCUUCCUGGUGAGCGCGGCUGUGAGGCUUGGC